rnacentral:rRNA from 1 species
AGUCGAACGAUGAUCCCAGCUUGCUGGGGGAUUAGUGGCGAACGGGUGAGUAACACGUGAGUAACCUGCCCUUAACUCUGGGAUAAGCCUGGGAAACUGGGUCUAAUACCGGAUAUGACUCCUCAUCGCAUGGUGGGGGGUGGAAAGCUUUAUUGUGGUUUUGGAUGGACUCGCGGCCUAUCAGCUUGUUGGUGAGGUAAUGGCUCACCAAGGCGACGACGGGUAGCCGGCCUGAGAGGGUGACCGGCCACACUGGGACUGAGACACGGCCCAGACUCCUACGGGAGGCAGCAGUGGGGAAUAUUGCACAAUGGGCGAAAGCCUGAUGCAGCGACGCCGCGUGAGGGAUGACGGCCUUCGGGUUGUAAACCUCUUUCAGUAGGGAAGAAGCGAAAGUGACGGUACCUGCAGAAGAAGCGCCGGCUAACUACGUGCCAGCAGCCGCGGUAAUACGUAGGGCGCAAGCGUUAUCCGGAAUUAUUGGGCGUAAAGAGCUCGUAGGCGGUUUGUCGCGUCUGCCGUGAAAGUCCGGGGCUCAACUCCGGAUCUGCGGUGGGUACGGGCAGACUAGAGUGAUGUAGGGGAGACUGGAAUUCCUGGUGUAGCGGUGAAAUGCGCAGAUAUCAGGAGGAACACCGAUGGCGAAGGCAGGUCUCUGGGCAUUAACUGACGCUGAGGAGCGAAAGCAUGGGGAGCGAACAGGAUUAGAUACCCUGGUAGUCCAUGCCGUAAACGUUGGGCACUAGGUGUGGGGGACAUUCCACGUUUUCCGCGCCGUAGCUAACGCAUUAAGUGCCCCGCCUGGGGAGUACGGCCGCAAGGCUAAAACUCAAAGGAAUUGAC